GAGCCAGGAAGAGGUUUCCCUGAGUGAAAAGGGUCUUGGGCCCUGGCCUCUGUCCUUGGGCCAGACUCCCUGACUCCCACCCCUCCUUUCCCAGGACUCCCCCUUUGGCUUGAGUUUUGUACGGUUUCAUAGCCCCCCAGACAAAGAUGAGGCAGAGGCCCCGUCCCAGAAGGUGACAGUGACCAAGCUUGGCCAGUUCCGUGUGAAGGAGGAGGAUGAGAGCGCCAACUCUCUGAGGCCGGGGGCUCUCUUCUUCAGCCGGAUCAACAAGACAUCCCCAGUCACAGCCAGCGACCCAGCAGGACCUAGCUAUGCAGCUGCUACCCUCCAGGCUUCUAGUGCUGCCUCCUCAGCCUCUCCAGUCUCCAGGGCCAUAGGCAGCACCUCCAAGCCCCAGGAGUCUCCCAAAGGGAAGAGGAAGUUGGAUUUGAACCAAGAAGAAAAGAAGACCCCCAGCAAACCACCAGCCCAGCUGUCGCCAUCUGUUCCCAAGAGACCUAAAUUGCCAGCUCCAACUCGUACCCCAGCCACAGCCCCAGUCCCUGCCCGAGCACAGGGGGCAGUGACAGGCAAACCCCGAGGAGAAGGCACCGAGCCCAGACGACCCCGAGCUGGCCCAGAGGAGCUGGGGAAGAUCCUUCAGGGUGUGGUAGUGGUGCUGAGUGGCUUCCAGAACCCCUUCCGCUCCGAGCUGCGAGAUA
rnacentral:lncRNA from 1 species